rnacentral:lncRNA from 10 species
CUCAAGGUUAAUGUCAAGGCAAGAAAUCUAUUUAUCAAUUAUUUAAUUAAAGUAACACAAAUUAUAUCUUUAAACCAUGAUUUAAAAAUUUAGCUAGCAUUUAUUUUGCCAUGUUCUGUUGUAAUCACAUUUGUGGUGUUAUUUUAUUAUCACAGUUUCUAUCAAUUAAGUAUUAUCUUAUCAAUUUUUAACAUGGUUAAACUGAGGCAUAGAGAGAUUUCAGCAACAAAAUUCUUAAUCGUUAUGUUCAUCAUUAGCACCAUAAGGAUUUCUAAGCAGGUAAAAUUCAGGAAAAAGGUGCAAAUUUGAAUUAAUAAUUAUGUAAGUGGGAGAUUUUAUUGUAAUUAGCAUUACCUUCAAUGUCAAGUAAUUCAAGGUUUAAAAUAGAGCCUUCUAAUUUUGUAAAGACAUGAUUUAGUAGGAAAGGAAUUUGUCAUUUGGGUAAAAGACUAUUGCAGAUGUUCAUUGUAUUUUGAAGGAAUAGUUGCUAUGAAAACAUCUUUAUUGACAACCACCACAGUCAGCAGUAACAUAUCCUUUUUCAUUUCGGAUUCGUUUUGUUACUAAAGGACGUUUGUUCCACUUCGCAUCUGAAUUGACAAGGAAUGGACUCUUCAGCUCUGACAGCAAAUCUCUCUUCAGAAGUCUGGAAAAGCAGAAAGAGAAGAAUGAAGAAAUGUCCACAAAACUGCUCCUAUCCUUUACACCACAUAGGACCAAACUCUUACCUUUCAUCAGUUUUCAGUUUGUACAUUAAUGUAUCCUGGUGAAGUUCCUCAACCACUUCUGCAACAUUCAAUUUUAAUUUAUAUUUGCCCACAUCAUUUCAUUUGUGAUUUGGACACAUGCAGGCUACUGAAUAUAAUGGAUACAAAUCUCUCACUGAUUCCCUUGAGCUAUUUCAUAGUUCUGCUUUCACAGGCAGGAGACAGUGAAGAAAUAAUGAUUCAGUUAUUUCUUAAAGAUUUCACAAUUCUACAUUCAAUAAAGAAUAUGUGAAUUCCUG